AUACGUAGGUGACAAGCGUUAUCCGGAUUUACUGGGCGUAAAGGGCGCGUAGGCGGCGCUUCAAGUCGUCUGUCAAAUGGGAGGGCUUAACCCUUUUUCGCAGACGAAACUGGAGAGCUUGAGAAGCAGAGAGGCAAACAGAAUUCCUGGUGUAGCGGUGAAAUGCGUAGAUAUCAGGAAGAAUACCAGUGGCGAAGGCGGUUUGCUGGCUGCAUACUGACGCUGAAGCGCGAAAGCCAGGGGAGCAAACGGGAUUAGAUACCCCGGUAGUCCUGGCAGUAAACGAUGUAUGCUGGGUGUGAGACUAGCGAUAGUUUCGUGCCGAAGUUAACGCGAUAAGCAUACCGCCUGGGGAGUACGGUCGCAAGAUUGAAACUCAAAUGAAUUGACGGGG
rnacentral:rRNA from 1 species